GCCCUUAUAGCACAGUGGUAGUGCGUUGCACUUGUAAGCUAUUACGUAAGAUUGCUUACGUAAUAAUUUGUCAUGCAAAGGUCCAUCGUUCAAUCCGGUGUGAGGGCA
rnacentral:tRNA from 1 species